GCGUCAUUAACAGAUGAUUGUUGUUGUGUUUCCUCAGAUCCUGAACUUCAUCGGGAAGGGAAGGUUCGCGUGUCUCUGGUGACGAAGAGCGAGCCGUACAGGCCACACCCCCACGACCUGGUGGGCAAAGACUGUAAGGACGGAUUCUACGAGACCGAGUUCGGCCCUGAGCGACGGGUCAUCGCGUUCCAGAACCUGGGGAUCCAGUGCGUUCGAGGCGAGAGGUCAAAGACUCCAUCAUGAAGAGGAUCAACCGCGGAAUCAACCCCUUCAACGUUCCUCGGGAGCAGCAGCUGCAGGCGGAGGAAUACGACCUGAACGUGGUGCGACUGUAUCCAAGUUAUUUACAAGACGAGAGCGGACAAUUCAGCCGAGCGUUAGCUCCCAUCGUCCACCAACCCCAUCUACGACAACCGGUCCCCGAACACGGCGGAGCUGCGGAUCUGCAGAGUGAACAGAAACAGUGGAAGCGUCAAAGGACAAGACGAGAUCUUCCUGCUCUGCGACAAAGUUCAGAAAGAUGACAUCGAGGUGCGUUUCUUCUCUCUGGACGGGUGGGAGGCCAAAGGCUCGUUUUCGCAGGCGGAUGUCCACAGACAGGUGGCGAUAGUGUUCAAAACGCCGGCGUAUUACAACCCGUCCAUCA
rnacentral:lncRNA from 1 species